rnacentral:rRNA from 1 species
GACGAACUGUCCUAACGUUGUUCGGAAUCACUGGGCUUAAAGGGCGCGUAGGCGGUCGAACAAGUCAGUGGUGAAAUCCCCGAGCUUAACUUGGGAACUGCCAUUGAUACUAUUAAUCUUGAAUACCGUGGAGGUUAGCGGAAUAUGUCAUGUAGCGGUGAAAUGCUUAGAUAUGACAUAGAACACCAAUUGCGAAGGCAGCUGGCUACACGAAUAUUGACACUGAUGCACGAAAGCGUGGGGAUCAAACAGG